GGACGUGUCCUAUUUUGUAUGUACCUUAUGAAUAAGGAUCGGCUAACUCCGUGCCAGCAGCCGCGGUAAUACGGAGGAUCCGAGCGUUAUCCGGAUUUAUUGGGUUUAAAGGGUGCGUAGGCGGCCUUUUAAGUCAGCGGUGAAAGUCUGUGGCUCAACCAUAGAAUUGCCGUUGAAACUGGGGGGCUUGAGUAUGUUUGAGGCAGGCGGAAUGCGUGGUGUAGCGGUGAAAUGCAUAGAUAUCACGCAGAACCCCGAUUGCGAAGGCAGCCUGCCAAGCCAUGACUGACGCUGAUGCACGAAAGCGUGGGGAUCAAACAGGAUUAGAUACCCUGGUAGUCCACGCAGUAAACGAUGAUCACUAGCUGUUUGCGAUACACUGUAAGCGGCACAGCGAAAGCGUUAAGUGAUCCACCUGGGGAGUACGCCGGCAACGGUGAAACUCAAAGGAAUUGACGGGGGCCCGCACAAGCGGAGGAACAUGUGGUUUAAUUCGAUGAUACGCGAGGAACCUUACCCGGGUUUGAACGCAUUCGGACCGAGGUGGAAACACCUUUUCUAGCAAUAGCCGUUUGCGAGGUGCUGCAUGGUUGUCGUCAGCUCGUGCCGUGAGGUGUCGGCUUAAGUGCCAUAACGAGCGCAACCCUUGCCACUAGUUACUAACAGGUAAAGCUGAGGACUCUGGUGGGACUGCCAGCGUAAGCUGCGAGGAAGGCGGGGAUGACGUCAAAUCAGCACGGCCCUUACAUCCGGGGCGACACACGUGUUACAAUGGCGUGGACAAAGGGAAGCCACCUGGCGACAGGGAGCGAAUCCCCAAACCACGUCUCAGUUCGGAUCGGAGUCUGCAACCCGACUCCGUGAAGCUGGAUUCGCUAGUAAUCGCGCAUCAGCCAUGGCGCGGUGAAUACGUUCCCGGGCCUUGUACACACCGCCCGUCAAGCCAUGGGAGCCGGGGGUACCUGAAGUCCGUAACCGCGAGGAUCGGCCUAGGGUAAAACUGGUGACUGGGGCUAAGUCGUAACAAGGUAGCCGUACCGGAAGGUGCGGCUG
rnacentral:rRNA from 1 species